CCUACGGGAGGCAGCAGUGAGGAAUAUUGGACAAUGGGCGCAAGCCUGAUCCAGCCAUGCCGCGUGCAGGAAGACGGUCCUAUGGAUUGUAAACUGCUUUUGUACGGGAAGAAACACUCCUUCGUGAAGGAGCUUGACGGUACCGUAAGAAUAAGGAUCGGCUAACUCCGUGCCAGCAGCCGCGGUAAUACGGAGGAUCCAAGCGUUAUCCGGAAUCAUUGGGUUUAAAGGGUCCGUAGGCGGUUUAGUAAGUCAGUGGUGAAAGCCCAUCGCUCAACGGUGGAACGGCCAUUGAUACUGCUAGACUUGAAUUAUUAGGAAGUAACUAGAAUAUGUAGUGUAGCGGUGAAAUGCUUAGAGAUUACAUGGAAUACCAAUUGCGAAGGCAGGUUACUACUAAUGGAUUGACGCUGAUGGACGAAAGCGUGGGUAGCGAACAGGAUUAGAUACCCUGGUAGUCCACGCCGUAAACGAUGGAUACUAGCUGUUGGCGCAAGUUCAGUGGCUAAGCGAAAGUGAUAAGUAUCCACCUGGGGAGUACGUUCGCAAGAANAGAACGACAANAGAGUAGACGCGUGAGACGUAGCGAGACGACGACGAGGGAGGAGG
rnacentral:rRNA from 1 species